rnacentral:rRNA from 1 species
AUACGGAGGGUGCAAGCGUUGUCCGGAUUUAUUGGGUUUAAAGGGUGCGUAGGCGGAUAAUUAAGUCAGUGGUGAAAGACUGCAGCUCAACUGUAGAGGUGCCAUUGAUACUGAUUAUCUUGAGUACAGUUGAGGUAGGCGGAAUUUAUGGUGUAGCGGUGAAAUGCAUAGAUGCCAUAAAGAACACCGAUAGCGAAGGCAGCUUACUGGACUGUAACUGACGCUGAGGCACGAAAGCGUGGGGAGCGAACGGGAUUAGAAACCCUAGUAGUCC